AAACACACAACACACGCGUUCCUUUUUCCCAGUGUUUUCUUCUUCUUCUUCCUCUUAUCAUCAUCACCACCGCCAACCCUCUCCCUCAAUCCACCGACGUUCUACCCCGUAUGUUCCAUGUCUUUUCUACUUUAACCGUCAUAUUUCUCCUCUCAUACUUCGCCGUCGUCGAUUCCACUGCCACUUUCUUUCCAUCGCCACGGGAAUAAUGAGAUUAAGCGCGAGAGUGAUCGACCUAAACUUAUUCCCUCUCUCCAGGUACUCAAUCUGUUAACUUUGAUGUUAGUUCAUACAAAUUUGCAUGUAACAAAUUUGUAUAAGAACAGGCAUAGACUUCUUAACCAAUCAAAUAAACUGCUCAAUCAAAGCUUACUCAAUUUUAUUGUAAAAGAAGAAAUAGAAAAUUUAGGUGGUUUGAAAUGUAAGAUCCAACAUAUGUUAGAUAUGAAAUUACUGUUGUGCUUUGAUGAUUUUUUCUCCUGAUUCCAAAAAUAUAGUUUUAAGCCAAUUUAUGGCAUUGAGUGAUUUGAUUUUCUGUUUCUUUUUUGUCUCAUUGGUUCUAAGUUGGAUGAGAAAUUAGUGGCCACAGAAAGAAGAAUGAAAUAUAAGUUAAUUAACAUUUUUUCAAUAACUUUGAAUUUUUGCUGAUUUUUCUUUAACUAUUGUUUUCUAAUACCAUUUGAAGUAGUCGUUUUUAUUAGAUUAUGUCAUUGCUACAAAAUUUUCUCUAUAUGGGUUCAUGUUGAUUUUGAAAUGAUUGCAAAUUUGUGUAUAAGCAUCUGUAUGCAAACCUCUCUUUUAAGAGCACUAUUUUUUGUUCCGGCUUUGUGUUUUUUGCGGAUGUGCUUAUGAUUUGUGCAGCUACAGGUUUGUUACUUACAGAGCUUUCCAAAUGUGGUAUGUUGCUUUGUUCAUUUAGUGGUUGAGAAUGAAAUUAGUUUGCACUCCCUGAGAAAAUAGCUCUCUAAACUGAAGUUCCCAUAAUCUCUUAUGAUCAUUGUACACACCAAAUCUCUUACCCUAAGUCAAAUUUACUGUACUGAGUAGAAAUUAUCUAUUCUUUCAUUAAUAUUGAAAAAUCUUUCAUCCCUUCAACAUUGUUUCUGAGUAUGAUGUUACCAGUGAAUUUUUGGUAUGUUCCUUACCAAUUCACAUUUUUUAUUGUUACUUUUAUUGGACAAAAUUACUUCUUGCGUCUAUUCUUCCCUGAUUCAUAGAAGUUGUUCUACAAUGGUUUUUGUGAAUUUGCAUUGGAUAAGAGGACCACGGCCAUGGUGGUCAUAGCACAAUUGCGACAACAAGUGGAAUUGCACUCUUAUUUUUGGAUCUAUGUCAUACAAUCAUAAUUGGUGGUGGUGAGUGGAAGAGCAUGAUUGAGUGCAGAAUUUUUGAAGGUGUACGUUUCAAGCUGGGUGAUCAGAUGGUCGGCAAAAGUGAAAUUGUUUACCUUCAUGUCUAUCGAGAUUUCAGUUUUUAAGCUGGGGUCUUCAUAUGAAUUUCCAUUUUGAAUAUUGUUUCUAUUGUAAUCUGCCAAUUAUCAGAAUUGUGUUAGAUAAGUUUGAGUCUAAUGUGUUCAGCUCCACUGUGUAAUCUGUUUCUGUAUUUCAUUUUCAAUAGAAUCCAAUUAAAACAACUUAUUCUGCUUGCUUAAUUAUCAUCUCCAAUCUGCACAAGUAAUACUAUAAACAGGGUCAUAUUAUUCUAUUGAAAUUGAAAUACGGAAACAUAUUACAAAGAAAAUGACUAAAGGCGGUGUAUAAAGAAGUUUUUCGCAAUUUAUGAAUUGUUCGGUGCUGAUGAAAUAAAGGUGUUGCCGUUUUGUUAGUCUGCCAUCGAUAUUUGUUUGACCUGACUGUAGCAUUUGCCAUCAUAUCUGAAACGCAUAAAUUCAUGUUUUACUGUAUACUCGGUGAUCAAUCCUUCUGUCUAUAUGAAAAGGCUUGAUGUAUACUGGUUGAGCACAAUUAAGGCAUUGCAUUUUUGGAGAUCGUUAUCAUUGUUAUACCAUUAUUAUCUUUGCUAAUAUAUGCUCCUAAUUGUUUAAGAAUUUCAUCUCUGGUCCAUACUGACGGUUUAUUACUGAUAUCAAUGGCACCAAUCUCAAUUGAUACUAUGUAUCACAUUAUCACCAACAAAGGUGUAACUUGGUUAUCAUUAUGAUCCAUUUCUGAUUCCGUAAUUAUACUA